GCGCACAGCCGCGGUAAUACGUAGGGUGCAGCGUUAUCCGGAAUUAUUGGGCGUAAAGGGCUCGUAGGCGGUUCGUCGCGUCCGGUGUGAAAGUCCAUCGCUUAACGGUGGAUCCGCGCCGGGUACGGGCGGGCUUGAGUGCGGUAGGGGAGACUGGAAUUCCCGGUGUAACGGUGGAAUGUGUAGAUAUCGGGAAGAACACCAAUGGCGAAGGCAGGUCUCUGGGCCGUUACUGACGCUGAGGAGCGAAAGCGUGGGGAGCGAACAGGAUUAGAUACCCUGGUAGUCCACGCCGUAAACGGUGGAUGCUGGAUGUGGGGCCCGUUCCACGGGUUCCGUGUCGGAGCUAACGCGUUAAGCAUCCCGCCUGGGGAGUACGGCCGCAAGGCUAAAACUCAAAGAAAUUGACGGGGGCCCGCACAAGCGGCGGAGCAUGCGGAUUAAUUCGAUGCAACGCGAAGAACCUUACCUGGGCUUGACAUGUUCCCGACGGUCGUAGAGAUACGGCUUCCCUUCGGGGCGGGUUCACAGGUGGUGCAUGGUCGUCGUCAGCUCGUGUCGUGAGAUGUUGGGUUAAGUCCCGCAACGAGCGCAACCCUCGCCCCGUGUUGCCAGCGGAUUAUGCCGGGAACUCACGGGGGACCGCCGGGGUUAACUCGGAGGAAGGUGGGGAUGACGUCAGAUCAUCAUGCCCCUUACGUCCAGGGCUUCACGCAUGCUACAAUGGCCGGUACAACGGGAUGCGACGCGGCGACGCGGAGCGGAUCCCUGAAAACCGGUCUCAGUUCGGAUCGCAGUCUGCAACUCGACUGCGUGAAGGCGGAGUCGCUAGUAAUCGCGAAUCAGCAACGUCGCGGUGAAUGCGUACCCGGACCUGGG
rnacentral:rRNA from 1 species